rnacentral:rRNA from 1 species
CGACUCCAUGAAGCUGGAUUCGCUAGUAAUCGCGCAUCAGCCACGGCGCGGUGAAUACGUUCCCGGGCCUUGUACACACCGCCCGUCAAGCCAUGGAAGCCGGGGGUGCCUGAAGUGCGCUGCCGCAAGGAGCGUCCUAGGGUAAAACCGGUGACUGGGGCUAAGUCGUAACAAGGUAAC